AAAAUGUUAAAUUUAGAUGAUGACUAGAGUGCAUUUGGCUCGAGACGUUUUUGUCGAUGUGGAAAAACUCACGCUACCUUACUAUUUUUUUCUGAAAUU
rnacentral:snoRNA from 1 species